CUCUUAUCAAGAGAGGCGGAGGGAACAAGGCCCUAUGAAACCCGGCAACCAGUGAAAAUCACCAAGGUGCCAAUUCCUGCAGUAUUCUGCAAGAUAAGAG
rnacentral:ncRNA from 2 species